UACGAAGGGGGCUAGCGUUGCUCGGAAUCACUGGGCGUAAAGCGCACGUAGGCGGACUCUUAAGUCGGUGGUGAAAUCCUGGAGCUCAACUCCAGAACUGCCUUUGAUACUGACGGUCUUGAGUUCGGGAGAGGUGAGUGGAACUGCGAGUGUAGAGGUGAAAUUCGUAGAUAUUCGCAAGAACACCAGUGGCGAAGGCGGCUCACUGGCCCGAUACUGACGCUGAGGUGCGAAAGCGUGGGGAGCAAACAGG
rnacentral:rRNA from 1 species